CCUGAGGUCAGAGGUUCAAGACCAGCCUGGUCAACAUGGUGAAACCCUGUCUCCAAUAAAAAUACAAAAAUUAGCCGGGGAUGAUGGCAGAUGCCUGUAAUCCCAGCUACUCAGGAGGCUGAGGCAGGAAACUCACUUGAACCCAGGAGGUGGAGGUUGCAGUGAGCCCAGAAUGUGCCAUUGCAUUCCAGCCUGGGUAACCAAGCGCGACUCUGUCCCCCCCCCCAAAAAAAAAAAGCAAUAUACUGUGUGUAAUUGUUGAUAGCAUAAUUCACUAUUAUGUGGAUCAGAGAGCAGAGGAUUCUGAAUGCAUUAACAUAUCUUUAACAUUUCAAUACAUUACUCAUAAUUACUAAUGAACUAAAGAGAAACCAAGAAAUUAUGGUGAUAGUUAUAUUGACCUGGAGAAAUGUAGACACAAAAGAACAGUAAGAUGAGAAAUGUGUUAACACAGUCUAUAAGGGCAUGCAAGAAUAAAAAUAGGAGAGUUUUUCAAGAGCUUUCUAGUCAUGUAAGUCAAUUUGUAUCGGUUAAUUUUUAAAAGGUUUACUUACAUGCAAUAAACUGCACACACUUCAAUUGUACAUUUUGAUAAUUCUUGGCAUUUGUAGCUCUAUAAAACCAGCAACAUAUUAAAAUAGCAAACAUAUCCAUUACCUUUACCACCAAAGUUUUCUUGUGUUUUUUCUACUCACUUUUUCCUGCCUAUCCCCAUCCCAUCCACAGGCAACCAUUGAUCCACUUCCAGUCACUAUCUGUGAGUUUUUAUUUCCAAAUACAUGAAAUCAUAGGGUAUGUAUACUUUCUGAUCACUCAGCAUCACUAUUUUUGAGAUUUAUUCAUGUUGCUACAUCUAUCAGUUGUUCUGUUCUUACUAGGGAGUAUUAUUUCAUUAUAUACAUAUACCAUAGUAAGUUUAUAAGUCACAAAUUCACCUGCCAUAGACAUUUGGAAUGUUUUCAGGUUUUGGCUGUUGCAAGUAAAGCUGCUAUGAAGAUUCAUGUAAAAUCCUUUGAAUGGGCAUACGCUCUUAGGUUUUCAUCUCUACUGGAAGUGGAAUAGAUAGCUAUAUGGCUAUCAUGUCUGUAAUAUGCAAACACAAAGCCUGACAAAACUGAUUUCUAAAAUGGAAACUCCACUGGAGAACCUUGACUCCAGCCUGGCUUUUGAGAUUAUCUCCUAUGUCUGGUGCAAUGAUUGGUCCUGGGGUAGCCACAUGACCCAAGGAGGACCAUUUUAAACUUCUAAGUUUUCACCGAGAUUAACAUGCAUUUGUUGAAAGACAAACCUCUUUUACCCUACUCCCCCAGCUGCAAAUGCUUUCAGGGUUCACAUCAUGUUGGAACAUUUGGUUACAGUGUUUCCUAAACUUUGCGGGUAAAAAUUGUUCAAGUAGGUAAAAAUGGAGCACAUACAAAGAAAAAAGGAGUCCAGAAACAUCAAAUAAAAAAGAAAGGGCCUCCAUAAAAUCAUUUGAACUUACGAUUAAUUCAUUAGUCAUUAAAACAAGUUUAGUGUACAAAGAAUCAUCCCCCCAACCACCCUUUAUUCCUUCACCAGGUUUAACUUACAUUUUUUUUAACUUGCAAACAAAAGAUUUGUCAUUAACUUAGACAUCAAAAUCCCUUGUCUCCAAGAGCAAUCAUUCAACUCUGUCCCUCUCAUUGUUACAAUAAUAUGUUCACUGUAUUCUUCAUACACCUGCUCUUUGCCCUUGUCUCCCUAUUCUAUUCUAUUAAAGUUAUAUCCAGACAUUUAUUUCAUUUUAUAUCAAAGAAACUAUACAUGUUUUUAAUCUUAGAACAAUUUCUGAGUAACUUUUUGUCUCAUAUUCGAUUUUAAGCCACCCAAGAAGCAUUAUUUUUUCAUUUAGUAUUUUAACUUUUCUAACCCAGGACUAAUAGUAGAUAUUAUGUCUUUUUCUAAAUGCUCUGCUUCAAUUUACAUUUUAAAUCUAAUUUUUAAAAAGUGUAUGUUUUGAAUAUUUGCAUCACGCAUCUCAGGCCUAAAUAUCCCUUGACAACAAAUAUUGCCUUUUUUUUCCCCUACAUUUUUCACAUAUUUCAAUAGGGAGCUAUAUUGCCUGACACAAUAAAAGUUUUUGUGAAUAUAACAUAACACAUAGGCAAAAUCUUGUUUCCAAGUGAUUGAUGAUGUGGUGCCUUCAGUCUAGUCCCAAUCUUUCAGUGUAAUCAUCAUCCCUAAAUCUAAUGAAAUAUGAAAUAAAUAUUUCACUUUGUUUCUAAAAUUCAGCAGACAAAUAUAUAGCCUGUCACAUAUAGCCUGUAACACCAACACAUAAAAAUUAAAGCAGUUCCUUCUCCACUCCCACAGCUUCACUUGACUAGCCUUAAAAAAUAAUAACAAUAAUAAAAAAUAAAAGCAAAAUUGUUCCUUUACCUAUCUUUGAAAUUUAAUGGAUAUACUGUCAGAAAAGCUCUUAUAUAUAUAUGGAGGGCCUCUAUAAAAUAUAGACUCUUAACUAGAAAAGUAGACUUAUAUGCUAGUUAAAUUAAAAACACAAUUAUACAUAGUACCUUCACAAAUGCACCAGUACUUAUUUCAGAAUGCAUGAUGCAAUUGACUAAACCGUUUAGGGCUAGACCUCUGAAAUAAAAGGCAUUCACACUUUGUGAUUCUAAGGGGAAAAUAUUAUUCAAAAUAGAAGCAUGCAGAACCUUUACCUGAUCAUAAUAUCUAUUAGGCACAAAUUUCUUCUGAAAGAAAACAGAUACGUUUUUCUCAGAAAUGUCUUUAGAUGAAGAUCUAGCACAUGUGUUUUUCUAACUUCUGAAAAUUUUGUUUUUAUUGAUAAAUAUAUAUGGGGUACAAUGUGGUACAAUACAUGUAAAUAUUGUGAAAUGGAGAAAUUAGGCUAAAUAACAUAUCCUUCACUUCAGAUAUUUAUUACAUUAUGGUGAAACAUUUAAAAUGUACUAUUUUAGUGCUUUUAAGAUAUGCACUACAUUAUGAGUAACUGCAGUCACUUUGCUGUGUACCAUAUCACCAGAAUGUCUUUCUCCUAACUGAAGCAUUAUCCCAUUCAAUAUUUCCCCUUUUUCCACCCCUGCCGCCCACCCUGCUCAGCGUCUGAUAAACCACCAUUCUACUCUUAACUUCUAUGAGUGCACAUUUUUGGAUUUCACAUAUAAGUGAUAUUAUGAGAUAUUUGUCUUUCUGUGUCUGGCUUAUUUUACUUUGUAUAAUGUCCUCUAAAUUCAUCCAUGUUUUUGCAAAUGACAGAAUUUCAUUCAUUUAUAAAGAUAAGUAGUAUUUUUGUAUGCAUCCUACAUAUACUUUUAACUUUCCACAGCUUUAUUGAGAUAUAAUUUAUACAUUAUGUAAUUCACUCAUUUAAAGUACAAACUUCAAAUUCUUUUAGUGUAUUAACUGGGUGGACAAAUAAUCAUCAUAAUAUAAUUUUAGAACAUUUUAAUGCUCCUUAAAAGAGUCUUGCACCCAUUAGCAAUCUUUCCCUAUUUUCUCUAGCCUUUUUUAAACCCCUCCUAGUCUAGAUGACUGCUCAUCUACUUUCUGACUAUGAAUUUGCCUAUUCUGGGCAUGUCACAUAAAUGGAAUCAUAAUAACACAUAGUCAUUUUUUACUCACUACUUAACAUAUUUUUAAUGUUCAUCCAUUUUGGAGCAUGCAUUAACACUUUUUUCCCUUUUGUUGCCAAAUAAGAUUCUACUUUAUAGACACACCACAUUUUAUUUAUCCACUCCUCAGUUGAUGAACAUUUCUGUUGUUUUCUACUUUUUGUUGCUAUAAACAUUUGUGUACUACUGUUUGUGUAGCAUUUGUUUUAUUUUCUUUUUGGUAAAUACAUAGGAGUGAAAUUGCUGGGUCAUGUGAUAACUCUAUGUUUAACCUUUUGAAGAACUUCCAGACUGUUUUACAUUUUAAAAUCUCACCAGCGGUGUAGAAGGGUUCCAAUUUUUCCACGUAUUUUUAUCCAUUCUUCAGUUGAUAAGCACUUAGGUUGUUUCUAAUUCAUGGCUAUUAUGAAUAUUGCUGCAAUGAACAUGAAAUUGCAUAUGUCUCUUUUUGACAUACUGAUUGAAAUUCCUUUGGACACAUAUCCAGAAGUGGGAUUGAUGGAUCAUAGGGUAAAUAUAUUUAUAAUUUCUUGAGGAAGCUUCAUACUGUUUUCCAAGAUGGUUGUACUAAUUUCCACUCCUACCAACAGUGUACAGGGUUUCUUUUUCUCUACAUCCUCAUCAACACUUAACUUCCAUCUUUUUUUAUAAUAGCCGUAGUAAAAUGUGUGAGGUGAUAUCUCAUGGUGGCUUUGAUUUGCAUUUCUCUGAUAAUUAGGAAUGUUUAUGAUUUUUUCAUGCACCUGUUGGUCUUUUGUAUGCCAUAGAAAAUGUCUAUUCCGAUUCUUUGCUUAUUUUUUUAAUAAGCAUAGUUUUUUUCUUAUUUUUGAGUAGGUUGAGUUACUUAUAUAUUAUUAUAUGAGCCCCUUAUAUGAUGUAUGGUUUAAAAAUGUUAUCCCAUUUGUGGGUUCUCUUCAUUCUGUUAUUGCUUCAUUUCCUGUGGAAAAGCUUUUAAGUUUUAUGCAGUCUCAUUUGUGUGUUUUUGCUUUUGUUGCCUGUGCUUUUGGAAUAAUCUACAGAAAAUCAUAGCUCAGGCCAAUGUCAUACAGUCUUCUUCUAUAUUUCCUUGUAGUAGUUUUAAAUUUAAGACUUUAAUUUUGAUUUGAUGCUUGUAUAAAGAGCAAAAUAAAAGUCAAAUUUUAUUCUUCUGUAUGUGGAUAGUCAGUUUUUUCUACACCAUUUAUUGAAAGUAAUUUUCUUUCUUCAUUGUGUAUUUUUAGUUAUUUUAUCAAAAAAAUCAAUUGACCACAGACACACGGAUUUAUUUACGGGUUCUAUAUCCCUUUGUACUGUUUUACAUGUCUGUUUUUAUGCCAUUACUAUGCUGUUUUAAUUACUAUAGCUUUGUAAUAGAGUUUGGAGUCGGGUAGUCUGAUGCCUCCAGCUUUGUUCUUUUUGUUCAAGAUUGCUUUGGUUGGUCCAGGUCUUUUGUGGUUCCAUACAAAUUUUAGCAGUAAUUUUUCUAUUUCUGUGAAGAAUGACAUUGGAAUUUGAUAGUGGUUGCAUUUACUCUGUAGAUUGCUUUGGGUAGCAUUGACACUUUUACAAUUCUAAUUUUUGAAUUCAUCAAUAAAGGAUGUUUCUCCACUUAUUUAUGCCAUUUUAAUUUUUUUCAUCAAUGUGCUAUAGUUUUCAGUAUGCAAAUCUUUUGCGUUUUUGAUUAAAUUUACUGCUGUCUUUUAUAUAUUUAUAUAUGUUUUGAUUCUAUUAUAAAUUGAAUUGCCUUAUUAAUUUAUUUUUCAGGUAAUAGUUUGUCAUUAGUUUAUAGAAACAAUAAUGAUAUUUGUAUGUUGAUUUUGUAACUAUUAACUUUAUUGAAUUUCUUCAUCAGCUUUAACCGUUUAUUUUGGUGGAAUCUUUAAGAUUUUCUCUAUCUUAAGAUUAUAUUUUCAGAAAACAGAAACAAUCUUACAUCUUCUUCCUUCCCUAUAUGGAUUUCUUUUACGUCUUUGUCUUGUGUAAUUGUUCUGGCUAGGCAAUUACACAUAAUGUUUUCAGCAUUUGUCAUCUAUUGUAGCACAUUGAUUGCUACUUUUCAAGUUGUAAACCUGGACAUUUA
rnacentral:lncRNA from 1 species